ACUAACUGGAGGACCGAACCGACUAAUGUUGAAAAAUUAGCGGAUGACCUGUGGCUGGGGGUGAAAGGCCAAUCAAACCGGGAGAUAGCUGGUUCUCCCCGAAAGCUAUUUAGGUAGCGCCUCGUGAAUUCAUCUCCGGGGGUAGAGCACUGUUUCGGCUAGGGGGCCAUCCCGGCUUACCAACCCGAUGCAAACUGCGAAUACCGGAGAAUGUUAUCACGGGAGACACACGGCGGGUGCUAACGUCCGUCGUGAAGAGGGAAACAACCCAGACCGCCAGCUAAGGUCCCAAAGUCAUGGUUAAGUGGGAAACGAUGUGGGAAGGCCCAGACAGCCAGGAUGUUGGCUUAGAAGCAGCCAUCAUUUAAAGAAAGCGUAAUAGCUCACUGGUCGAGUCGGCCUGCGCGGAAGAUGUAACGGGGCUAAACCAUGCACCGAAGCUGCGGCAGCG
rnacentral:rRNA from 1 species